UCCCUGUGUUAUCAACCCUGUGUUCAGCACAAAUCCAAAACAUAGCCCCAUACUAGCUACUAUGGAGAAAAUGAACUCUAUCCCAGCCAAAUCCAGCACAGAGGCCACACUCUUCUCCUCAGCUUUAGGCGCCUGCAUAAAUGUUGACAAAGUUUUGCACAUAACCUGAAGCAUUUUUAGAGGAGGUGCCUCAUGUGAUCUGGAGUGCUGUCCAUCUCUGGUGCCUCCAUACAGUGUCAAUCUCAUUCAAGACAGGCUUCAAGGUUAUACCUGCUGGCCUCCUUCCCCUACCAGCACCCAUCCCAGCAGGGGUAGUAGCUGGGGUCUUUCUCUGCCAAGGAGAAGGGGAGUAAGGAGCUGAUGCUGCACUACCCCAGUGCUUGAGGUUGAUGCCAGACAAAAGGUAGCUGGUGCCCAGGCAAACAGCUGAAGGCUUAGUUUUGCAUUACGGGCUGUUCAGACAGAGCUUUAUUUGCUCUUUAGCUUAUGCCAAAUAGGGAAUUCCUGUGGGGAGUAGACACUCAAACUAAUGUUUGCCCCUGGGCUGAGGAUGUGGGGACAUUAAAUGGCCAGUUUCAGGACGACCUUGUGCCCCUGUGUAAUAGUCACAGAGAUCAGUGGAGAUGCGGCUCCCCUCCUCCUCUUCCUCAGUUUUCCUACUCUGUUGUCUCAGUUUCUUCAUCACCCUCUCCUCUUCACCUUUCUCCUUAGUCUGCACAGAUCCAUAUGGCUUUAACAGAAUAUCAUUAACCUGCAGCACUACAGAAGGCUGGUGCUUUCUUAAAAACCUGCCACUUUCUAUUUUUACCCUCUCUGAAGUACAGGCGCCUCAGACCAAGCUGAGGGGGCUGACCUGCUGCUGUGAACUGAUCUUGACUGCUCUAUCCCUGCACAAGUCUUAUCCUGCUGGUGCUUCAGAGAUGCCUUGGACUCCAGGUUGUACCUUUUCAAACUGUGGUCCCUUAAGAAAUUUGUACAAUACCCUGCCUAAAAUGGGUAGGAGGAAACUUACCUUUUCAGAUAUGCAUAUGCAAAUGAGGAUGCUGUGAAAUUUGAAUAAGAGUAUGUGGUUUUGCUCUGUUUCUAUAUUUCAAAUUCCCUUCUUGCCCCAUCCUCAUUUAUUUUUUCUCCUGGUUUCACAAAUGUUGUGAGAAAUGAGCUAAUUUGCCUUUACGACACAACGUGUUACAACACAGGUGUACUUGUACACCCCCCCCAGCUCAUUGUAAGUUUGUGUUGUUCACAUGCCUUUUUAAGCAAGAGUCUGAUAAUAGUUUGCAUCAUUAAAAAAAAAAAAAAAAAGACUCUCCUUUUUUUGUUUCCCUCAAUCUAAGUUGUAUUUUCCUCAUUUAAUGUCUGGAUAAGCAAAUAUUCACUGCUUUCAUUUCAUGUUGUUGCUUUCUAUUCAAUGAUAAUGAUAUAUUUUCAUGUAGUACUAUGGCAUAUAAAUUGGGAUGAAGGGAGUGUAGAUUGUUUUCUCCUGCAGGCUGAUUGCAAACCUUCUCAACAUUUACCAGUCAUUGUACUGGCAGCCAGUUUAAUCACAUAUUCAUGGUAAGGGAAAGCACACUGGGCUUCAAAGAUACUUACAAACUGCCUUUUUGUGAAUGUCAAGUUAUUUUGCCUCAGAAUUAAAAAAAAAGUCUUAACACUAUGAGAUCCAGCUGGACACCCAACUUUCCAAACUCCAGGAAUGCUAACAUUAAAAUUUGAAAUUAAAUGAAAACCGAAUCUUUAAACCUUACCAAAUCAUCAAGUUUCAUCUUGAAAGCUAUCUCAAAUGUCUAAAGUUCAAAACUUGUAGAUUGUACUGGUGUGACUGAAAAACUUUUUUUUUUUUGCAGCAGAUUUUCGCUUCAGUGUUCAAACUCUGGAGCAGAGGAACAUAAGGCAUAGUACCAGAUUUGGGCAUUUUAUAUAUCCUCUAGUGAAAAUUGCUUAUAUAACUUGAACACGCAGUUCAUGCCUUGCAGUAUCAUCCUGACUCUGAGGACUCACCAUGGUUGCUGGCUCCCAAAACCAGGCUGUUCCAUAUUGGCUGUUUAAAUGUCUAAAGUACAUUUAUUAAAAAAAAAAAGUACAUGGGCAGGUGGUUGCUUACCUGGAAAUAACUCUGUGUUUACAGAAAGCCGUGGUUUGAGGGACCUUAUUACUUACUACAAUUUAUUUCUUUCAUGAGCUGGUAGGUACAAAAAAGGCUUCUUUUUCUUCUUUCUCCAGCUGCAACAUAAUGAAGUGGCACACAUCAAAAUCUGCAUUUCCACUGCAUACAAGGAGCAAGCUUUGCUGUACACAGGGCUCAGCUGUCAUGGAAGAAAGACAUGACACUGAAGUGACCACACACCGUUUUUUAUUCUCUCCCUCACAAUCUCUGCUGGAUCUGGUGCAUUCUCUUUAUAAGAAACUGCUAUUACAGUAGGGUGUCACUUCAAUCCCUGUUCACAGGCGUUACUUCAUAGUUUUUGGUUGGUUUUUUUUUUCACCAUGAGAUAAUUAAAACGUAAGAACAGACAAUUUUGGGAUGGUUAAGUAAAGCCUUUGAGCUCUUUGUACUUCUGUACAAAUUUCCAGGUAAAUUUUUCAGUGCAGAAAUCUGUUCUUGCCUAGGGGUCAUACUCCAGUUCCUGCAGUCCCUGGGUCAGAGUGCUUUUUCUGAUUUCAUCCCACCAGGGAAAGCAUGGGUUGUCUCAGUAGUGUUCAUGCCUGCCAUGAAUCUCUUAUUCCAAGGUCCCAUGUUUCUACACUUAGGGCUGUGGGCUCUGAAUAUGUUGCAAUGAAGGACCUGAAGCUGCCUAGGAUCACAAAGUGAGGCCUUGUAAGCUUUGAAAUGCCUCCCAAAGGGUACUACAAGGAUCCUUGUAAAUACUGUCCUGCUACUGUCCCUCUGAGCAGGAUGGAGUCAUCGCUGGUUUUAUUGCUCUCCUUUUGAGGCAAUAGGUACAGUCAUUGUGUGGAAAGGCUGGAAGCUGUGAUCUUAUGACCUAAACGGACAAUCUGCAUGAAAUUCUUGAAAGUUUUUCCCAAAGAACUCCUCAAGGCCAGCGUGUAAUUUUGGAAAGAUUCAGUCCCUUCUGUCAUGGUGUGACUCAGCCUUCAAGAUGCUUUGCAGCAGCAAUGGCCCAACUAGCCAAAUGAGUAAAUGGGAGUUUUUCUCUGAACAAUGGAGCUCACCUGAUAAUUUUGAAACAUUUGGACAGUUUUGUUGCAAGUUGCUAUUUUCAAGCUCAGUAGGAGGAUAUACAAUACAUGACUGAUACAUAACUCUUAGCAUGAGGCACCAGAAACAAGUCAAGAAGGCAAAAUGGAGAGCUAACUUGCUGGUUAUACUUCAUAUGCCAAAUGUUCUUCUCAAAACCGGAAGGCAUGAGACAUGAAUGGUCUUGGCUUUGUGUCUGCUGAGCUAAUGGUGUCAGGAAAGCGAGUCAAACUUUAGCUGGUGAAGAUGGACUUGUUUUCUCAGGGGAGGACUGUGGUUGGUUGCUAGCUCUCAGAAUGCUUGUGAGCACAGAAAACUUUCUUACCAGCUCAUCUCUUCAGCUCCUGCUCAGGCACUUCCACAUGCUGCAAAAUGUAUUGAGCACCCAUAGUUACAUCUGAAAAAUGUCAACAGAGAACACAAAAUGCGUUUUCCUGUGUUUGAGAGCCUUUUUAGUAAUUUGGAGUGGCAGCAGGAUGACUGCAGCUGAUGCAAAAGGAAAAGUGUCUGUGGCAGAGCCCUCCACUUCUCUUUCUAUCUCAUUUGAAUGUGAAUAGCCAUUUCAAAACCUGCAACUUCCUUUUAGUGACAAGCUCAUUUAGUGUCACUGUUCAAUUGGACCAUGUACUGACAUGCAGAAAUUUGAAUUAAAGGGAGAAAACACCUUUUACUACUAAGGAAAAUGACUACAGGACUCCUCCAGCCUUCACUCUGCAUCCUCGGAGACAACACCAAGCCCCGGUGGCCAGUGCCCAGGGCCAGUGCCCAGGGCAGUCCCUGGGCCAGGAAGCCGCUCUCCCGCUGCCCGUAGAGAACGAAGCCCCAAGAGAGCAUCACCACGGCAGCCAGCGCCUGCAGGACAAAGCGCAUCGCGCGCUGGCGGCCACACUGCCGGGAGUCUCCCCCUGCUUUUAUCCACCAGCGUCCGCUGCCUCCACCGAGAGGUGCUCCCAGCCCUGCUUCCCCCGGACACAGGGCAGGGCAUCUGCCGCCGCCCGCUACCGAGCUCGCCCCAGGCGGCACAGGGCGCUCGGUCCCUCAGCCCCGGCGGCGCCACCGCAGCCCCGGCCUGCGCUCAGCGGCGGCUCCGCCCCGGAACACGUCAUCGCCGGGCGCGGAUAUGACGGGACGGCGGCGGCGCCUCUGUCCCGGCAGGGCUCGGCGCUGCUCCGCGCCUCGGGAGGAGCAGUUCCCGUGGCAACGCCGCCCAUGGCGGACCCGUCCCGGCGCCUGGCGGAGGCCGCCCGCCGCCGCCGCCGCCCGCUGGGGGAGGAGCGGCGGGAGCCUCCUGGCGCCGGGCGCUGCCGGACCCGCCACAGGCUGAAGGCGGCCGCGGCACUGGCCCGCGCAGGGAGCGAGGGACCGGCGGCGAACAUGACUUCAGUAGAUAAAGAGUUUGCAGAAGACAGCAACUUUGCACCAAAAGCCAGCACCAGCAAGCUGCCAACAGAUGCAUCUCCUGACUCCAAAUGCCCCAUCUGCCUGGAUAGAUUUGACAAUGUUGCGUAUCUAGAUCGCUGCUUGCAUAGGUUCUGCUUCCGCUGUGUCCAGGAGUGGUCAAAAAACAAAGCAGAAUGCCCCCUCUGCAAGCAACCGUUUUUUUCCAUUUUCCAUACAAUUCGUGCUGAAGAUGACUUUAAGGAGUAUGUACUCAGCCCUUUAGAAAACAGCUCUUUUGCCAGCCCUGAUGGCCGGAGAUUUCGUUACCGUACUACCUUAACAAGGGAACGCCGCAAUCGCAGUUCCCCUUCCCGAAGGAUGCUGUCCCCUCCAGAUAAUGGGAUGUUGUUUGAAGAGUUGUCAAGCGAACCAGUGCGUCACAGACACCGAGAGAUUCAUCAGAUGAUGAGGAGGCUGGCCUCAAGGAGGCAGGCUAGCGCAGAGGGCAGAUCUCUGCGGCAGAUUCAGGAGGAGGACAUGAUCAACUUCCGCAGAGCCCUCUACCGUACUGGUGUGCGUAUCCGCGGCAUUCAGGAUGGCGGCCGCUAUCGAGACAUCUCCGCAGAGUUUUUCCGCCGCAACCCUGCCUGCCUUCACCGGUUGGUUCCUUGGUUGAAGCGAGAACUUACAGUCCUGUUUGGUGCCCAUGGAUCUUUGAUUAAUAUUGUACAGCACAUAAUCAUGAGUAACGUGACUAGGUAUGAUCUCGAAAGUCAGGCCUUUGCUGAUGAUUUAAAGCCAUUUUUGCUGAAUCGGACAGAACACUUCCUGCAUGAAUUCAUCAGUUUUGCUCGUUGUCCUUUUAACUUAGAAGCAUACGAUCAACAUGCCAAUUAUGAUUGUCCUGCACCAUCAUAUGAGGAAGGAAGCCAUUCAGACUCAUCAAUUAUUACAAUAUCUCCAGAUGUGGCAUAUUCUCAAGGGCCAGAUAACAGUUCGUCUGUACCUGGCCUUGGUCAGGCCCCCUGGGAUGAUGAAACUCCAGGACCUUCCUAUUCCGUUUCAGAAGAGGUUCGUGCAACCAUAGCUUCUCCUUUGGAGUCAUCGGAAAGUUCUGAUGAGGACUCUGCUACAGGGAGUCAAAGAACCAAACUGCAGACUCAGUUACAGGCUAAUGUUGACUCAAAUGACAGUGGCUCUUCCUCAGACAAUUGUGUCAUUGUUGGGUAUGUAAAGCCAUUAGCUGAGAGGACACCAGAAGUGGUUGAACUGUCCUCAGACUCUGAGGAAUCCAUCAGGGAAGAGAAAAGGGAGGAUGUCAAGAAACAGCGGCCAGUCCAGUGUCACAGCUGGAGUGACAGUGAACGAAGCAGGAGCUUCUCGCCGUGUUCCCCAACGUAUAAGGAAGAUGCAGGUAGUUGUAGAAGCUGUUUAUCUCCUACAGUUGAGAAGACAGAGUCAAAAGAAGAUGAGAAGAAAAAAUGUAAGGGAAAAGAUCUGCCUCCACAGGACUUGAGCUGGAGCCCCUCUCCAGGGAGUGACACAGUGUGUUCCCCUUGGAAUCACAGGAAGGGAAAGUCUAGAAGCCCACAGUCCUGUUCACGGAGCAGUCGAGGCAGUCAUGGCCAUCGGUCUAGGAGGGAGCACCAUAGCAAAAGCCAACUUAAAAGGAGACGAUCAAGAAGCAGAGAUAGCAGCAAACACAGGAGCAAAAGAAGCAGUAGAAGGUCGAGGGCUCGUGACAACAGAGCCUCUCUGAAAAGCCAGAGGGGCUCUCUGAGUGGUGAGAGCACUCCAUCCAGAGAAUUAAGCAGAUCACGAUCAUGUAGCAAAGGCUACAGUAAAAGGAGAUCAAGAAGUAGAGACAGUGAUCGGUAUUAUGUAAGAGACAGUUAUCAAAGUAGACAUCAGUGGGGUUCUGCUUUCUGUAGUAGAAAGGUGUUUGGGGAUAGCUAUGAAUCCUCCAGUAGGAGGAGGACACGAUCUAAUACUCUCUAUUCGAGGCAAUCUGCUAGUCCAGAAUACAGGAUACGGUCAUUUAUUGAAAGGACAGACCUGCAUAGCCAGAGGGGACUCCAUGAGAGACACUAUUACUGUUAUGAAAGAUGCAGGUCAAGGAGUCGGUCGAGCAACAGGUCAAGGACUCCUUCUGGAGGAACUGACAGAAUGAAAAGCGAAAAGCCUGGUGGAAAAAGGAAGUACAAAACUCGCCACCUGGAGAAUGCAUUCAUGGAGAGCAUAAGUCUAGAAAGAGAAAAUGACCCCAAGAAAACUUCCUCAAAAUUCAGUGACUGCUGCAAAAAUGAAGAUAGCCCAUCAGACAAUCGAGCAAGUAAUGAGAUAAAGCGUAAAAAAAGGAAGAAGAAGUUGAGGAGUCCAAGUGUAGAGAUAGUCUACGAGGGAAAAGCAACAGACACAACGAGACAUCUUAAAAAAAAAAAGAAAAAGCAUAAGAAGAAACACAGGAAACAUCACAUCAGUAACUCAGCACAUUCUUCUCCAGUGGUGAUUACAAUUGAUAGUGACAGUAGCAAGGAGCCAGAAAGUACUGAAUGGGACAGCAGUAUUACAUGGACAGGCACAACUCUGAAAAAUGAGGGGGGAAAUGAGUCUCCAUCUUCUUUCCUGAGGACAAGAUGUGAGGAAACUGGAGAAGCAGACAAAAAGUACAGUAUCCCUACCACAAGGGAAGACUUAGAUGGUGACAUUAGAAAUCCUGAUGUCAAACUUCAAGGAACAGCAGCUGAUCAGAGUGUUAUCACAGCAGAUACCAGCAGUAACACCUCUCACACAGAAACUGUAACCAGCUAUGUUCAGGAAGCACCAGCAGCGCCUUCCAGUCAACUAUCUUCCCCCAGGAUUUCCUUCCCAGAGCAUCCAGAGAGACAACCAUUGAUACUAAGACUGCCAAAGAGACUUGUCAACAAAUCCUCUUGGUUUGGUUUCCCAGAAGAAAAAAUGUAGCACACUUUCCAUGGAACAUUUCUUGAAAUUGUGAAUUUAACUACUUUUUUUUUUUCCCCUUAAGAACUAAAAUAUCGGGUAGGAUUUCUCUCUGUUAAAAGAUGUCUGGGAAAUGUGUAAAACCUUUGAAUGUGUAUGCACUUUUGAGUCAAAGAAGAUAGAGUAUUGCUAGUAUGUAACUUUAAAAGGUUUUUUUUGGAAGACUGUUUAGAAAUUGUAAUUUUAUAAAGCCAUCCACAGUAUUUCAAAGUUUUGCUUAAACCAAAUGACAGGAAAGGAGCCCAAACCAAAAGCCAGAAAAUUAAUUUUAUGGGGAUUGCCCUUCUUAGACAAGGGAAAAAAUGUUUGGUUCAUAAGAAAUUAUUCAGUCUGAAUUCCAGCAUCAUUUCAAUUUCUUUGGUUUAAGCUGAUCUCUGCUGAAAAGUAGUCAGUGAUUUCUACAGAGAUCCUCAGAGGACUUCUAGUAAUUUCAAGGUGAUGUUCCUUUGUGAUGGGUAAUUUCCAGCACUCCUGCUUCAGUUGUCACAGGUGAAAAUCAGCAGGAAUCACACAGAUAAUUAAAUACAGUGGAUCAUCACAAGCUCGUGAUCAAGCUGUCUUCAGGCUUAUUGAUUGCUGCAGAGCAGUGGUGGAAAACAAUACUGGUGUACAAUUCAAAGGAAAACAGCCGGCACCACAACAAAGAUUACCAAAGAACAAAUCGAUGUCACAAAAUACCCUUACCAUGUCCUGUAGCGAAAUAGAAUUGCAGAAUUGCUGUGAUUUGUGGGCACCUCUGAGAUCAUCUAAAUGAUCCAUCAAAGCACGGUCUAUUGGAGCAGGUUGCCCAGGACCAUGACCAGUCAGGAUUUUCAAAUCUCCAGGAAUGAAGUCUUCAGAACCUCUCGGAGCUCAACUGCUUGACCACCCUCACCACAAAAGUGUUUUUUUUUUAAAUGUUUAAGUGGUGUUUAUUUUGAUUCAGUUUGUGUUCUUUGCCUCUUCUCUGCUCACUGGAUACCCUUCUUCUUCUGUCUUCGUUACCCCUGUGUGGUUUAUAUACCCAUGUGUACAUGUAUAAUCCUCCCUUCAUACGCACCCCCCUCCCCUUCUCCAGACAGAACAAUUGCAGCUCUCUGAGCCUCUCCUGACAGACAAGUUAGCUAAGUUAUUGCACAAGAAUGUAUAUAAUUCUGAAAUUAUAUUAACCCAAAGCACAGAAGAUCCCUGCUCAGCCAAGCUGGCCUUCUGCCUUACCUGAUUGACUUCUCACGUUUGGGAAUUGCUGCUUCUGUGCCUAAACAAGGUGAUGUUCGAAAAGCACUGAUGGACCCCAGCACCUGCAAAAACAUUUUCCCAGGGGACCUUGCUUACUAAUUUCCUGAGCGGCCUAAAUGAAUGUGCUCUCCUUGUGUCCAAAGCUGAUGUUUCGAUGGCACUUUUCCUCCUGUCAACAGAGGUUUUAAACUUGAUCACUUCAGUGGUGCGAAGGGGCACCAGAGUAAGUCAGUCGUGUUGAAGAAUGAGGGGAUAACCUAUCUGGAUAUCAGUGCAGAUUGUUUUGGAUAAGGACCCCUCUGUUUAAAUAAAAUUGUUGCCAUUUCUGAAAUUUGAA